AGGUCCUGCAUUACCUCCUGCCUCCAAUAUAUUUCCUGGGACUGGAGGAAAACCUGCUGCACUUGGUGAGCUAUCAACCAUUUUGACAUGUUUGUUAAAACCUAAAGUUCCAAUUUGGAUCCCAAUUNNNNNNNNNNGUUGACAUGAUAAGAAAUAACAUAUUUACCUCUUUUAUAUUGUAGUCAUGCAAUGUACGUUUAGUUUAUUAUGUUAUUACUAGCAAUAUUGAUUUUUAAAAAUCCACUUUAUUUAAUAAUAUAUUUGUGAACCACCUGCAGUACAUGCGUGGACACCUAGGGCGGUGCAGUACAUGCGUGGACACCUAGGGGGGUGCAGUACAUGCGUGGACACCUAGGGCGGUGCAGUACAUGCGUGGACACCUAGGGGGGUGCAGUACAUGCGUGGACACCUAGGGGGGUGCAGUACAUGCGUGGACACCUAGGGGGGUGCAGACCCCAGUUUGAAGACCCCAUGUAAUAUAUAGACACGCCCUUUAUAAUGUAAUAAUUCAAUGGGACAUAUCAGAUUAUCCAUUUGUUGUGACUCUCUCUCUUUCCUCUCUCUCUCUCUCCUCUCCUCUCUCUCUGUCUCUCUCUCCACUCUCCUCUCUCUCUCUAGAGGAAGCUGUUAGAGAUCUAGAAGAUGGUUUGAACAUUGGAGAAUCUUCUUCAGGGAGCAUUGCAUUGGAAGGUCCUGCAUUACCUCCUGCCUCCAAUAUAUUUCCUGGGACUGGAGGAAAACCUGCUGCACUUGGUGAGCUAUCAACCAUUUUGACAUGUUUGUUAAAACCUAAAGUUCCAAUUUGGAUCCCAAUUGACAUGAGCAUGUAUGCAACAUAAAUCCAAUCAUUUCAAUACUCCUUACAGAUUAUGUUAAAGGCAAGACAGCAAUAGGUGCAAUGCUACCAAUUAUGCUAAUACAAUGUGUCAUUUUAGCUAGAGAACUUUCUGCAAUGUGGGAAAUGUAAAACUUGUAGUGUAUUUGAGGUUUAAAAAGGCUUCUGAAGUUUGUAAAUUCCACUUAGAAAUUUCAGUCUUGAUUGUCCCGAAAAAUCUAUCAACCCCUACACAAAUGUCCACAAAUGAAUUAUAAUCCACAUAUUCAUUUACAUUUCCUGGAUUAUUUUCCUGCUGUAGCAAACUCGCUCAAAUUUAAAUCCUACAUAUGUAUAAUUCUCAUAAGCCUUUGAUUUAACAGAUAAGGUUCUGUGUCUUGACAAUAAAGGUACAGUAGGGUGGUAUGUUCUGUCUGAACACAGCGUUUUCAUUUCGAUACAGCAUCAGACGAGGAAUCGGUUGGAAAGAUCACAUACUACACCAAUAACCAUCUUGGAAAAGGUGCCGAUGGAAUUGUGUUCAGGUAAACCAGCUUAAACGUUAUUGUGGAAAUGUGUUUGUAACCC
rnacentral:lncRNA from 13 species